rnacentral:rRNA from 1 species
CAAUAGCGUAUAUUGAAGUUGUUGCAGUUAAAAAGCUCGUAGUUGGAUUUCUGGUAGGAGCGACCGUGCCGAACUUGAUUGUUCGAGUAUUGUGUUGUCUUCAGCCAUCCUCGUGGAGAACUUUUCUAACAUUAACUUGUUGGGAUUGGGACCCGCGUCGUUUACUGUGAAAAAAUUAGAGUGUUUAAAGCAGGCAUUAGCUUGAAUACACUAGCAUGGAAUAAUAAGAUAGGACUUUGGUACUAUUUUGUUGGUUUGCAUACCAAAUUAAUGAUCAACAGGAACAGUUUGAGGAUAUUCGUAUGAACAUGUCAGAGGUGAAAUUCUUGGAUUUUGAUCAGACGAACUACUGCGAAAGCAUUUAUCAAGGAUGUUUUCAUUAA